AUGGCAGUUGAAGCUGAAGCUGAUGAGACUGAUUCACCUUAUCAUGCCACGUCUGUGGACAGAUUGACAAGCAUAGAAGAAAAUGAUAAGUUCAAGGGCUUCCGGUCAGGAAAGUCAUAUGCUAAUCUCCGUGAGUUUGCAAAGUUCAUCAAAGAGGAAUAUGGACUGAAAAAUGAGGAAAUACGACCCCUGGAUCAAACACAUAGUUCAGUCCCCUGGAAACGUGAGCCACUUAUCUGUACAACCCUUGACCCCAUGGAGAAAUAUGGGAUUGGCAUGAUUGCCCCCUCAAAUAUUUAUAGGUUUUAUGACGAUCUUCAUUGCUACCUUGCAAGUUGCAAUGUAGAUGGAGUUAAGGUGGAUGUGCAAAAUGUACUGGAACUUCUUGGUUCUGGUUAUGGAGGCCGUGUCGCAUUGAUGAGGCGGUACCAAGAAGCCCUUGAGGAAUCUGUUAUAAGAAACUUCCAUCGCAGUAACCUUAUUUGCUGCAUGAGCCUUAGCAACGACUACAUUUACAGCUCAAAGCAAGGUGCAGCUAGUAGGGUAUCCGAGGAUUUCAUGCCAAUGGAGCCAACAUUUCAGACCCUACAUGUUGCUGCUGUAGCUUUUAACAGUCUUCUCAUGGGAGAGAUUGCUCAGCACCUAAAUUAAUUCCUAAUUGUCUUUCUUCUGCAUUUUCAGAGUGACCAUUACACAGCUGAGUUCCAUGCUGCAGCAAGGGCAUUGGGGGGAUGUCCAGUAUAUGUAAGUGACAAGCCAGGCAGCCAUAAUUUCAAUGUUCUUAAAAAGCUUGUACUGCCUGAUGGCUCUAUUCUAAGGGCUAGAUAUGCUGGCCGUCCUGCUCGGGACUGUUUAUUCAGUGAUCCAGUCCUAGAUGGGAAGAGUCUAUUGAAGAUUUGGAAUUUAAACAAGUUCUCAGGAGUCAUUGGUGUGUUCAAUUGCCACAGAGCAGGAAAGUGGCCACCAACCGCCGGUGCUCCAAAUGAGCCUCUCUCAGAAUCGACACCACUGCCUUUUUCCGGCCUUGUCAGCCCCUUAGAUGUCGAUUUGCUUGAAGAGGUUACAAAUGAAAGUUGGAGAGGAGAGUGCAGUAUAUGCAUUCUAUUCAGGUUCACUUUCUGUGAUGCCAAAGAAAGAAAAUUUUGAAGUCACCUUGGGUGUUUUAGAAUGUGAAGUUUUCACCAUAACUCCUAUUAGGGUGUUUGGUCCCUGUAUUCAAUUAGCCCCAAUUGGGUUGCUUGAUAUGUACAACUCAGGAGGAGCCAUUGAAUCUCUACAUUGCAAAAAUGAACUUUCGGAAUGUGUCAUGAAGGUCCGAAUCCGAGGAUGUGUCGAUUUGGAGCCUACUCCAACAAAAAACCAAGGUUUUGUAUGGUGGACAAGAAAGAAGAGUUUAUAGUCUACAAUGCUAAUAAUGGUUUGUUGCUACUUAAACUUCAUGGCGAAUGCAGUGUAAGAGAGAUUGAAAUUGUGUAUUGAAAGUCUGCAGCUCCUGAGGGGCUUUAAACUUUGUUUGAAGCAAUUUAAGUGUCAUGUA